rnacentral:lncRNA from 1 species
GAUUAUAAGUCUUCCUUCUUUCAGAUUACUCUUUCUAUAUCUUUUUCAACUCCUUCCAUAUAUUUUUAAUCUUCCUCCAUAUAUUAUUCAUAUCCCUCCGAUUUUCUCUAAGUUAAGUAUUUUUAUAAGUUUAAUUUAUUUUUCAAAAACCCACGCCUUAGUGUGAACCCGCAAAAUAAAGCCCUCCGCCCCAAAAUUCAUAUAGCCGGAGCAAGCCUCAGUUUUGUCGACCUUCAACCGUCGGUGUUUCGGCCAGCAAUCGUCGGUUCUCUACCUUCAUUAUCUUUGGGAUUAUCAAAUCUCGGGUCUUCCUCUAUCUAUCUUCAUAUCUUUAGCUCGAUAUUUCUUAGGGUAUUACUUAUUGAAGUUAUUUAGGAGUCCAUCUAUAUGCAAACUGAAGUAUUUCAUGCGAAAAGUUUCAAAUAGUGGAACAUGAAUUCUCAAAUUUGAUUUUAUAGGUGGAAGAAAUUUUUCUGUAUGCGAGAUUAAAGUGGAAUUUGCCCCCUUUUCAGUUAAGAUUCUUCUUCUUUGAUUUUUUUUUUUCUUAAUUACCUGUUUUGACCCAUUUUCUUAUAGUUUUUUUCUGCUAUUUCUAGUUAGUAGUUUUCCUAUUAUCUUUUGGAGAUAGCGACUUCGCUAAAGGAAGGAAUGAAAAAGAUAAAUUAAAUUAGUUUUAUAGUGCAUUUCAUCAAAAUGAUCUCACUUGGAUUUGCGAUGGUUAAUUGAAAAUGCAACAUUGGAACUCUAGUACCAGAACAUUUGCAAUUUAAAAUUUUUUCAAGUAUGAAUUUUAUGUAUGUUUUAUAGCGACUUAACCCUGCAUGUCGAAGUAUAAUAUUGAAGUGUAAUAUUUUCGCCACUGAUUGUUGUGAGAUAUUAUUCUCCUUAGUUCUUCAUGUUCCAUUCACCAAAUGGUGUAUCUAUAGCUUAAUGCCUCAUUAUCUUACUAUUUCCACCAAACAAAGUGAAAAGAAGUAAAGUUAUAUACACAAAUAUUGUGGAAAUUAUAUACACUAAUGGAGGACUGGAUGAUUUAAUCUAGGAAGAUCACGUAAUAAUAACCUUAAUUCAUCGCCAUAUCCUCUUAUAUUCCUUAUGCAUGAUACUUCAUAUGCCUUUUGGUAAAAUAAUCCUAGAAUGUUGUAGGUAAUUGAAUUUUGUUGAUAUAUCUCUUGUACAUUGUGUCGUGAAUCUAGUAUUUAGUUGUUUGCUACUGCUUUUAAGUUUAUUUCUCUGUUGCAAAGAUCAAGUAGCUUUCCAUUCGGUGAUAAUUUUGUAAGUAUCCCAUGUUCCUUCUUAUUCUUUAAUGUUCCGCCGUGACCUCCUCUAUCAAACCCCCAAAGCCCCUUCCCUCGAAUCUGACUGGAACCCUUCGAAUACUAAAUUGAAGUUUUCCGGCCAAAACCUUAAUUACUCCAAACUACUCCAAAUUGAUACCACAUGGUCCCCUGGAUUCCCUCAUGAGGAAUUAAGCGUCAAUAGCACUCAAUUCCCACAGGAGAUGGCCGGAUUUGAACUUUGAGAGUUAGCCGGAGUUUUGAAACCGAGUUAGUGAGUUCCCCGAUUUUCUUCUCUUUUUCCUUUCUGGCGUUAAUUUAUUUGUCAUGACUGUUUGGCUUCUUGAUUACAUACUAAUCUUGGUUGUUAAUAAGUGCUAAUCCAAAAAUCAAUAAGUCCUCUUCAAUUCUGUUUCAAUUUCGUUCAACAGUUAUUUCAGUCCGAUCUUAUCAUUGUUUUAGUUUCUAGUUUAGUUUUGUUUGAUUGGUUUAAACUUGCCUGGGUAAUUCUUGGUGUUAGCUUAAUUGUUGUUUGAAUCCGUUCUAAUACAUGUUACAGUUUAUAAUUCUAAUUGAUUUUGUCUGGCCAUUGUUUGAUUUUAAUCUGCAUUGUUUGAUUUGCUAGUUUUGAUCAGUCAGUUUAAUUUAGUUUAAAUUCAUUAGUUGCAUUAGUAAUUCCAUACUCAAGGAUUAGUUUAAGGUUUGUUAGUGUUCUUGCUUAGCUCUUUAGGAUCAAUAAUUUCAGAUAGAUAAAGGGUAGUUUAGGCAUUUCUGACAAAGAAUAUUGUAGUAACUGAGAAUGAACUUCCUAGAAGCUUCUAAAUGGGGGCUUUAGGUAAAUUACAAAAGAUAAGUGUACUAACUUGGGUAACAAGUCAAUAAGUAGAGGACUAUUGUGAAAAUAGAAGAAGGACCAAAAGGAAAAUAGAAAAAUUGAGGGUUGCCCUCAUUAUUGCCUAUAAAAGGCAGUCCUCUUUGCUUCAUUCAUAAGUUUGGACCCCCAAAAUUCCCCCCAAAACAGUCUUAGUUCCUAGAAGUUAAUUUGAAUUUCAAAUUCAAACAUUAGAUCUCAAAUUUUCUUUCUCAUCUUAGAAAAAUCAAAAAAAUACACAAAAGCCACAGCAAAAUACAAAAAAACACUGUUACAUUGAUCAUUUUUUCAGAUUUCAGCUCUUAAUUCAACUGGUUGGAUCAUUUAGGAUAAAAAACAACUCGAAUUUCUCUAUUUGUGUUCUAUGUUCGAGAGUUAAAGCAUUUGCAAGUAGUUUGGGGUUUAUUCAAGUUGUUAUUGAUGUUUCUAAGUGUUGACUAGUUUUCUGGGCUUCUGGGCUCAAUUUCAAGUCUAUUUGCGUCUAUUCAAGUCAUCUUAGUUGAUUCGUGGUUCUAUCUUAUUUUGAUCACUUUCUGGAUUAUCGAGUUCAUCUCUGGGCUGUAUUUGAUUCCUGCUUGCUACUGCGGCUGAUACUUCUUCCUUUUUUUGUGAUUCUAAUACCAGGUACACUUUCAUAGCCUUUAAUGAUCUGGAAGUUUGAUUCAUGUGUAUGAAUAAUUUGGGGAAUAAAUGAAGAAGAGUUGGUAUCUGUUGACCUGAGUUUACUUAGAAUCAUUUUUAGCUUUUAAUAUUCAUUUUAGCUAUUCAUGUUUAAUUGUAAUUAUAACAAUUGUUUGAACUGUCUGAUGUGUAUUGGACUAUAAUAGGACUGUUUUGAGACUAUUCUUAACUUGUGGAUUGUGAGUUGAUUUUAUGUCGGCCUGUGAGCAGGUGAAUCCAUUAAUUAGUAAUUUUAUUUUGGGUUUAGCUUGUGUUACGAGUGUAGUGUAAUUCGAAUCUAUAUGAUAGUUGUAUUUUACAGUUGGAAAUUGAACUAAUAAUCAGUACGCAUGCUCCUAUUAUGUUAAGCAAUAAACAGUUUUAGUAAUAAUUCAGUAGUGCAAUUUUGGAAUCACGAGAUCGCCUGAAUGUUGAAUGACAGCUUAGUAAUGCUAAUUUGAAUAAGUAUCAUGUAAUUGAGCUGCUAAUACUGUUGUUUUCAGUUUGAUUUUUACCUUUAGUGAAUAUUAGGAGCUCACUAGUAGAUAGAUAAAUAAGAUAAUCUAAGUAUGGAACUGGAGACAAGAGGGGCUUGGUCUGAUGGUAACCAACCCUCACUUACAACCGAAAGGUUGUGAGUUCGAGUCUCCCCAGGAGCAAAUUCUGGGGAUUUAUGCCGGGGGUCUAUUUGGAAAC